CCUAUUUAAUCAGCACCGCUAUUGUCGUCUCCAUCAACCACUUUAUUCUCGGCACCGAUAGCGCUAAUAAAGCCUCCAACUUUCUCAUGAUCAUUGUCUUCCGCUUCCCUCUCCCUACGCUAUUGUCGUCUCCGUCAACCACUGUAUUCUCGGCACCGAUAGCGCUCCUCCAACUUUCUCAUGGUCAUUGACUUCCGCUUCCCUCUCCCUCCACCUGCAAGAAUGCCCCUCCCCUUCCUUUUGCCAUAGCCACCACAAAUGUCUCUAUCCCAUUUAUCGAGAUCAUGCAAAUCAACUAUCGCGAGGGAGAGGUCAACCAAAUGUGCCACAUGUCGCAAAACCCCACUUUCACGGCCAUCAAGACCUGCGAGUCCAAGCUAUACAUCUUUAACUAUGGCUACUGCCUGCCGAUCGAGGCCACCAGAGGGGAAGUCAGAUGGCCUAGACCUCUUCUUGAGAGAGCACACUACUAAAGGGAUGUAGGUGUAAUGUCUAUAGAGAAGGUUCUUAAUGCGAUUGAUGUAUUUGAGGCUAAAAGUUUAUCACGAAGAAUUUAUGCUUAUCCAGAAGGU